UUCGGAUUGGAGUCUGNAACCCGACUCCAUGAAGCUGGAUUCGCUAGUAAUCGCGCAUCAGCCACGGCGCGGUGAAUACGUUCCCGGGCCUUGUACACACCGCCCGUCAAGCCAUGGAAGCCGGGAGUGCCUGAAGUGCGUGACCGCAAGGAGCGCCCUAAGGCAAUACCGGUGACUGGGGCUAAGUCGUAACAAGGUACC
rnacentral:rRNA from 1 species